rnacentral:rRNA from 1 species
UUGUUGGUAAGGUAAAAGCUUACCAAGGCUUCGAUCAGUAGCUGGUCUGAGAGGACGACCAGCCACACUGGGACUGAGACACGGCCCAGACUCCUACGGGAGGCAGCAGUGGGGAAUUUUGGACAAUGGGGGCAACCCUGAUCCAGCCAUGCCGCGUGAGUGAAGAAGGCCUUCGGGUUGUAAAGCCCUUUCAGCCGGAACGAAACGGUUACGGAUAACACCCGUGACUACUGACGGUACCGGAAGAAGAAGCACCGGCUAACUACGUGCCAGCAGCCGCGGUAAUACGUAGGGUGCGAGCGUUAAUCGGAAUUACUGGGCGUAAAGCGUGCGCAGGUGGUUUUGUAAGUCAGAUGUGAAAGCCCCGGGCUCAACCUGGGAACUGCGUUUGAAACUACAAGACUAGGGUGUGGCAGAGGGGGGUGGAAUUCCGCGUGUAGCAGUGAAAUGCGUAGAGAUGUGGAGGAACACCGAUGGCGAAGGCAGCCCCCUGGGUCAACACUGACGCUCAGGCACGAAAGCAUGGGGAGCAAACAGGAUUAGAUACCCUGGUAGUCCAUGCCCUAAACGAUGUCAACUAGUUGUCGGGCCUUUACGGGCUUGGUAACGUAGCUAACGCGUGAAGUUGACCGCCUGGGGAGUACGAUCGCAAGAUUAAAACUCAAAUGAAUUGACGGGGACCCGCACAAGCGGUGGAUUAUGUGGAUUAAUUCGAUGCAACGCGAAAAACCUUACCUACCCUUGACAUGUAUCGAAGCCCGCAGAAAAGCGGGGGUGCCCGAAAGGGAACGAUAACACAGGUGCUGCAUGGCUGUCGUCAGCUCGUGUCGUGAGAUGUUGGGUUAAGUCCCGCAACGAGCGCAACCCUUGUCAUUAAUUGCCAUCAUUUAGUUGGGCACUUUAAUGAGACUGCCGG